UACGUAGGGGGCAAGCGUUGUCCGGAAUCAUUGGGCGUAAAGCGCGUGUAGGCGGCCAGAAAAGUCCGCUGUGAAAACGCGAGGCUCAACCUCGCGCCUGCAGUGGGUACGGGCAGACUAGAGUGCGGUAGGGGAGAUUGGAAUUCCUGGUGUAGCGGUGGAAUGCGCAGAUAUCAGGAGGAACACCGAUGGCGAAGGCAGGUCUCUGGGCUGACACUGACGCUCAUGCACGAAAGCGUGGGGAGCAAACAGG
rnacentral:rRNA from 1 species